CACGUGAGCAACCUGCCCCCUACUUCGGGAUAAGCCUUGGAAACGGGGUCUAAUACCGGAUAUGAACAUGUGCCGCAUGGUGUGUGUUGGAAAGUUUUUCGGUGGGGGAUGGGCUCGCGGCCUAUCAGCUUGUUGGUGGGGUAAUGGCCUACCAAGGCGUCGACGGGUAGCCGGCCUGAGAGGGCGACCGGCCACACUGGGACUGAGACACGGCCCAGACUCCUACGGGAGGCAGCAGUGGGGAAUAUUGCACAAUGGGCGAAAGCCUGAUGCAGCGACGCCACGUGAGGGAUGACGGCCUUCGGGUUGUAAACCUCUUUCAGCAGGGAAGAAGCGCAAGUGACGGUACCUGCAAAAGAAGCGCCGGCUAACUACGUGCCAGCAGCCGCGGUAAUAC
rnacentral:rRNA from 1 species